rnacentral:tRNA from 1 species
GGGAGUCUAGGUUAGUAGACUGUGAGUUUUCAAGACUUGAGGCGCAAGUGGCGGCUCUCG